rnacentral:rRNA from 1 species
GACGAACGCUGGCGGCAUGCCUAAUACAUGCAAGUCGAACGAGAGGAAGGAAAGCUUGCUUUUCUGAAUCUAGUGGCGAACGGGUGAGUAACACGUAGGUAACCUGCCCAUGUGCCCGGGAUAACUUCUGGAAACGGAUGCUAAAACCGGAUAGGUAGCAGACAAGCAUUUGACUGCUAUUACAGUGGCUAAGGCCAUGAACAUGGAUGGACCUGCGGUGCAUUAGCUAGUUGGUGAGGUAACGGCCCACCAAGGCGACGAUGCAUAGCCGGCCGGGGCGGGCGGUCGGCCACAUUGGGACUGAGACACGGGCCAAAGUCGUGCGGGAGGCAGCAGUAGGGAAUUUUCGUCAAUGGGGGGAACCCUGAACGAGCAAUGCCGCGUGAGUGAGGAAGGUCUUCGGAUCGUAAAGCUCUGUUGUAAGAGAAAAACGACAUUCAUAGGGAAUGAUGAGUGAGUGAUGGUAUCUUACCAGAAAGUCACGGCUAACUACGUGCCAGCAGCCGCCGCCG